UACGGUAGGGGGCUAGCGUUGUCCGGAAUCAUUGGGCGUAAAGCGCGUGUAGGCGGUUUGGUAAGUCCGCUGUGAAAGUCGGGGGCUCAACCCUCGAAUGCCGGUGGAUACUGUCGAACUAGAGUGCGGAAGAGGCGAGUGGAAUUCCUGGUGUAGCGGUGAAAUGCGCAGAUAUCAGGAGGAACACCGGUGGCGAAGGCGGGCUACUCGUCGGACAGAACUGACGCUGAGGACGAAAGCGUGGGGAGCAAACAGG
rnacentral:rRNA from 1 species